UACGUAGGUGGCAAGCGUUGUCCGGAUUUACUGGGCGUAAAGAGCGCGCAGGCGGUCGGAUAAGUCGAAUGUGAAAGCCCCCGGCUCAACUGGGGAGGGUCAUUCGAUACUGUUCGACUCGAAGGCAGGAGAGGGAAGUGGAAUUCCCGGUGUAGUGGUGAAAUGCGUAGAUAUCGGGAGGAACACCAGUGGCGAAGGCGACUACCCGGCCUGUUCUUGACGCUGAGGCGCGAAAGCUAGGGGAGCAAACGGG
rnacentral:rRNA from 1 species